GACGAACGCUGGCGGCGUGCUUAACACAUGCAAGUCGAACGGAAAGGCCCUGCUUUUGUGGGGUGCUCGAGUGGCGAACGGGUGAGUAACACGUGAGUAACCUGCCCUUGACUUUGGGAUAACUUCAGGAAACUGGGGCUAAUACCGGAUAGGAGCUCCUGCUGCAUGGGGGGGGUUGGAAAGUUUCGGCGGUUGGGGAUGGAAUAGCGGCUUAUCAGCUUGUUGGGGGGGUAGUGGCUUACCAAGGCUUUGACGGGUAGCCGGCCUGAGAGGGUGACCGGCCACAUUGGGACUGAGAUACGGCCCAGACUCCUACGGGAGGCAGCAGUGGGGAAUAUUGCACAAUGGGCGGAAGCCUGAUGCAGCAACGCCGCGUGCGGGAUGACGGCCUUCGGGUUGUAAACCGCUUUCGCCUGUGACGAAGCGUGAGUGACGGUAAUGGGUAAAGAAGCACCGGCUAACUACGUG
rnacentral:rRNA from 1 species